rnacentral:rRNA from 1 species
UACGUAGGGCGCAAGCGUUGUCCGGAAUUAUUGGGCGUAAAGAGCUCGUAGGCGGCUUGUCACGUCGGGUGUGAAAGCCCGGGGCUUAACCCCGGGUCUGCAUUCGAUACGGGCUGGCUAGAGUGUGGUAGGGGAGAUCGGAAUUCCUGGUGUAGCGGUGAAAUGCGCAGAUAUCAGGAGGAACACCGGCGGCGAAGGCGGUGCUCUGGGCCAGUAUUGACGCUGAGGAGCGAAAGCGUGGGUAGCAAACAGG